rnacentral:rRNA from 1 species
UACGAAGGGGGCUAGUGUUGCUCGGAAUCACUGGGCGUAAAGGGUGCGUAGGCGGGUCUUUAAGUCAGGGGUGAAAUCCUGGAGCUCAACUCCAGAACUGCCUUUGAUACUGAAGAUCUUGAGUUCGGGAGAGGUGAGUGGAACUGCGAGUGUAGAGGUGAAAUUCGUAGAUAUUCGCAAGAACACCAGUGGCGAAGGCGGCUCACUGGCCCGGUACUGACGCUGAGGUGCGAAAGCGUGGGGAGCAAACAGG